rnacentral:snRNA from 1 species
AGCUUUUCAAAGUGGCAGUAUCGUAGCCAAUGAGGUUUAUCUGAGGCAUGAUUAUUGCUAAUUGAAAAAUUAAAUAGUGAAAUCAC